rnacentral:rRNA from 1 species
CCUACGGGAGGCAGCAGUGGGGAAUAUUGGGCAAUGGGCGCAAGCCUGACCCAGCAACGCCGCGUGAAGGAAGAAGGCUUUCGGGUUGUAAACUUCUUUUCUCAGGGACGAAGCAAGUGACGGUACCUGAGGAAUAAGACACGGCUAACUAAGUGCCAGGAGCCGCGGUAAUACGUAGGUGGCAAGCGUUAUACAGAUUUACUGGGGGUAAAGGGCGUGUAGGCGGGACUGCAAGUCAGAUGUGAAAACCACGGGCUCAACCUGUGGCCUGCAUGUGAAACUGUAGUUCUUGAGUACUGGAGAGGCAGACGGAAUGCCUAGUGUAGCGGUGAAAUGCGUAGAUAUUAGGAGGAACACCAGUGGCGAAGGCGGUCUGCUGGACAGCAACUGACGCUGAGGCGCGAAAGCGUGGGGAGCAAACAGGAUUAGAUACCCCUGUAGUC